ensembl:lncRNA
UUUACAGGGAAAACGAGCCAUGGACAUUUUUUACAUGCAGGGAUAAAAAGAAAAAAAAAAUGAUUCAAAACCACAUAUUUAUAAGUUGAUAUACCUACAACAGUGUUCCUUCUUCUGUACACACACUCGUUUGCAUACUCUGUCCUUCAUUCACACAGCCCUGUCAUGCAUUCUCACUGUGGGCUUACAUGCUGUGAUUAAGAGAACAGCAUACAUGUAAUGAUUGUUAAAAACCCCUCAGCGACACUCAUUUUGUCCUCUUUUCUUUUUGAAGGAGUAAGUGGUGCUCUCACAGUUUCAUUCGUGUCCUUCUGUUCUUACAAAUAAUGAGCUGUGCACUCAAAUCUCAUCCAUAUGUAGUCACACAGAAGCAUGUUUCUGCAACAUUCAUUCUCCAUGUUCUUCAGCAUUGUCAUCAAACCUCAAUUUGUUGUGUUGUUUUUAUCUGUUGUUGUUGUAAUUUUUCAAUUAUGCCAAUCUGUUAUGUCAUGUAUAUUGGAGUUUAAUUCAUCAUGGUGCUAUAAUGGAGCUCCUUCUGGAGUAAAUAUUUUUUAAAAAUGGGUACUGGGGCAGUGCAUUUUUUUUCUUUUUUUUCAACAUUGCGAAGCCAUGUUUAAUAUUUUUUUCUGCUUAACAAACUGUGGUGUGUGAUUGCCUCGAGAUCUUUCUAUGCAUAUAUGUGUGGGGAAGUGACUGAUUAACAUAUUUUAAUAAAAGUACACAAUGUACAUUUAAGUUAAUAUGAUGAAAUUUGUUUGUUUUUUUUAGUGAAUACAUUUGCUUAACAAAGACAACUCCAGGAGCAGCUUUAGUUCUGCAAUUUCAUAAUACAUGUCAAAUUGAAACUGUUCUUAGAGCCUGCAGGUGUGUCGGUCUCAGCAAAUGUUGAUGGUUUCUUAUUGGUAACUUAUUUUUUAUUUCCUUUAAACUAAAUCGCACUCGUGGACACAUUUAAAAGAUAGAACAUGAAAAUAAAUAAAUAAAUAAAAACUAAUGAACAAGAUUAGCUACAUAAAAGCUGCAUAAAAUUGCUAAUCACAUUCCUUAAUAAUCAAAUUGCAUUUGAAAUUUAGCUGAAUUAUGCACACUGUCAUGUACAAUGUUGAACACACUAUAUCAGAUUAGUUGUGUGUGGUCUGCUAGGUUGUGUUACGUUACAAGUGAUUACCAAUUCCUUCUUUUACCAACAUUCAACCUUUAUUUUUAGUUUUUAAAAUCUAAUUUAUUUAUUUAUUUAUUUAUUUUGUAUCUUCAAGUACUGCAGAGCUAUGGUAGUUAGCAUAUCUGACAAUUGUUUACAGUCACUUCAUUGUUUCCAAUUGGAGCUCCAGUUGGUGGUCGGUGGGACGUCAUAAUCUAUCUUUGACACAACAGGUAACUGCUGCGUGAUACUAAAAUGAGAAUAAUUCUUAAUUGGCUAGUAUUUCUCGUGAUGACUAGCAAGAGCAGCAAUCUUUAAACGUCUAGUUGUGCGCAUUCUUAGUUUCUUGGUAUGAAAUCCACCUAUAAUAAAGUAUCUUGACC